GAUGAACGCUGGCGGCGUGCCUAAUACAUGCAAGUCGAGCGAACGGACGAGAAGCUUGCUUCUCUGAUGUUAGCGGCGGACGGGUGAGUAACACGUGGAUAACCUACCUAUAAGACUGGGAUAACUUCGGGAAACCGGAGCUAAUACCGAAUAAUAUUUUGAACCGCAUGGUUCAAAAGUGAAAGACGGUCUUGCUGUCACUUAUAGAUGGAUCCGCGCUGCAUUAGCUAGUUGGUAAGGUAACGGCUUACCAAGGCAACGAUGCAUAGCCGACCUGAGAGGGUGAUCGGCCACACUGGAACUGAGACACGGUCCAGACUCCUACGGGAGGCAGCAGUAGGGAAUCUUCCGCAAUGGGCGAAAGCCUGACGGAGCAACGCCGCGUGAGUGAUGAAGGUCUUCGGAUCGUAAAACUCUGUUAUUAGGGAAGAACAUAUGUGUAAGUAACUGUGCACAUCUUGACGGUACCUAAUCAGAAAGCCACGGCUAACUACGUGCCAGCAGCCGCGGUAAUACGUAGGUGGCAAGCGUUAUCCGGAAUUAUUGGGCGUAAAGCGCGCGUAGGCGGUUUUUUAAGUCUGAUGUGAAAGCCCACGGCUCAACCGUGGAGGGUCAUUGGAAACUGGAAAACUUGAGUGCAGAAGAGGAAAGUGGAAUUCCAUGUGUAGCGGUGAAAUGCGCGGAGAUAUGGAGGAACACCAGUGGCGAAGGCGACUUUCUGGUCUGUAACUGACGCUGAUGUGCGAAAGCGUGGGGAUCAAACAGGAUUAGAUACCCUGGUAGUCCACGCCGUAAACGAUGAGUGCUAAGUGUUAGGGGGUUUCCGCCCCUUAGUGCUGCAGCUAACGCAUUAAGCACUCCGCCUGGGGAGUACGACCGCAAGGUUGAAACUCAAAGGAAUUGACGGGGACCCGCACAGGCGGUGGAGCAUGUGGUUUAAUUCGAAGCAACGCGAAGAACCUUACCAAAUCUUGACAUCCUUUGACAACUCUAGAGAUAGAGCUUUCCCCUUCGGGGGACAAAGUGACAGGUGGUGCAUGGUUGUCGUCAGCUCGUGUCGUGAGAUGUUGGGUUAAGUUCCGCAACGAGCGCAACCCUUAAGCUUAGUUGCCAUCAUUAAGUUGGGCACUCUAAGUUGACUGCCGGUGACAAACCGGAGGAAGGUGGGGAUGACGUCAAAUCAUCAUGCCCCUUAUGAUUUGGGCUACACACGUGCUACAAUGGACAAUACAAAGGGCAGCGAAACCGCGAGGUCAAGCAAAUCCCAUAAAGUUGUUCUCAGUUCGGAUUGUAGUCUGCAACUCGACUACAUGAAGCUGGAAUCGCUAGUAAUCGUAGAUCAGCAUGCUACGGUGAAUACGUUCCCGGGUCU
rnacentral:rRNA from 1 species